rnacentral:pre_miRNA from 1 species
AGAGGAAUAGCUGGGUCAAAUGGUGGUUCCUUUUCCAAUUUUCCAAGAAAUCUCCAUACUGCUUUCCAGAUUGGCUGCACCAAUUUGCAGUCCCACCAGCAGU